GAUGAACGCUGGCGGUAUGCCUUACACAUGCAAGUCGAACGAAAAUUAGCUUCGGUUAAUUUUAGUGGCGGACGGGUGAGUAACACGUGAGAAUUUGCCUUUAGGAGGGGGAUAACGAGUGGAAACAUUCGCUAAAACCCCAUAUGCCCACGGGUGAAAAAGAGGAAACUCUGCCUGAAGAGAAGCUCGCGGCUGAUUAGCUAGUUGGUAGGGUAAUGGCCUACCAAGGCGACGAUCAGUAGCUGGUCUGAGAGGACGAUCAGCCACACUGGAACUGAGACACGGUCCAGACUCCUACGGGAGGCAGCAGUGAGGAAUUUUCUGCAAUGGGCGAAAGCCUGACAGAGCAAUACCGCGUGAGGGAUGAAGACUUACUGAGUUGUAAACCUCGGUGCCUUAAGGAAGAAGAUCUGACGGUACUUAAGGUGGAAAGCAUCGGCUAACUCCGUGCCAGCCGCCGCAGUAAUAC
rnacentral:rRNA from 1 species